CGGACGGGUGAGUAAUGUCUGGGAAACUGCCUGAUGGAGGGGAAUAACUACUGGAAACGGUAGCUAAUACCGCAUAACGUCGCAAGACCAAAGAGGGGGACCUUCGGGCCUCUUGCCAUCGGAUGUGCCCAGAUGGGAUUAGCUAGUAGGUGGGGUAAAGGCUCACCUAGGCGACGAUCCCUAGCUGGUCUGAGAGGAUGACCAGCCACACUGGAACUGAGACACGGUCCAG
rnacentral:rRNA from 1 species